GGCUCUGAAGCCCUCUCCCUAGCCAAACGCAGUGAACCCUGAGUUCUCCGAGGUUGGGGACUGAGGCCAGCCCAGGACGGUGCUCCGGGUGGCUCUUGGCUGCUGGGAAACCAGCCCUGUUUUUGUUUGAACGUUUUGUAACGAUUAAGCAGAUCCCGGCGUCAGCCAGCCGAGGAGAGGCUCAAACAGGCAUAAAGUGCGACCCCAAGUGGCCACUGUGCGCAAAGGCGCACCGAAUCGCGGGGCCCGCAACUGGAAGUCUCGGCCGACGACUCGGACCCAGCUGGGUCUUCCCAACCCGCCCAACCCAAGCUGGCCCGGAACGCAGGCUGUGUGUGCACCGGAGCCCAAGACAGAUUGCCCUAGAGCCACGUACAGGUUCUCGGGUCGGUCCUCGGACUCAGCCGCGAGUUCCACGCUGAUCUGCCCCCAUGAAACUCCGCGCCCCGGCUCCGGGGAUCGGGGGGCGGAGGGGCGGGGAGGGGUGCUCGGCGGCGGCUCCCUGCUCGAGAAGAUCCUAGGCCGAGUUAGGCGGAUGGCCGAAAGCGGAAACGCCACAGCGAGGGGCCCCAGGGCUGUCAGAUGAGAAACCUCCCCCGAGCGCAGACGGGGACCCCUGAGCGCACCGCACUACGGCAUCCAGACAGUGCUUGGGAGCUGCGCACCUUCCGUAUCGGGUACAGGAUGGCCCUAAAUAAGAGCUCCCUAGACCCCGGCCCGGGCGCAGAAACCGGAUAGAUCGCAAAUUCGCUGUAGCCGGAGACCCGACCCGCCUCCCGCGUCGCCUUCCGCUCUUCGGCUUUGGGCGCGAGCAGCGAAAAGCAGGAGAAGCGCGCACCGGGUGAGUGUGUCCAGCCGCUGCUUGUGCGGGACCAGCACGACUGACGCAGCGCGUAGGGGUCAGGCGGGCCCACUAAUGCGGACGCAGCCAGAUUUUUUUUCAAGUGUUAGAAGGUUGAGGCAGAGGCGAUGCGUCUGAGCUCACCACCUUGGGAUUCUUCAGCUACCGAUGGUGAUCAAAGAGAUGUCCGAGCCACAGCGGAGCCUCGGGGCACCCCGUGUGGGAGUGGGUGAAAAAGUUAACUCCCUAAGGGAACGAAGGGUCCACUGCCAUUCGCCGGCUUCGAGGUUCGCCGCGCCGCUCCCGGCAGCCCCUGCCCAGCCCGCCCGCCCGCUAACCCGAGAGCGGCGCGCUCUCCCGUGCGCCUCCAAGUCUAGAGCGGCGCUCCCAGCAGCCGCGUUCAGCCCCGAGACCAAGGACCAACUCAGGAGAAAUCUGGAUGAUCUGAGUGAUUCCAUCCCACCGGUCUCCCCUCUUCCCUUCUCCUCUCUCUGGAUGUUCUUCAGGGGCCCAGGGGUCCAGCUUCCCACCACAUCCUCAUCACAGCUUGGGGAGCAAGCUUCUGAGAACAGGGGAAGUGGGUGGCACCAUCCCACUGCUGGAAACUGCGGUCCAGGCCUGAUGGAGGGAAUAAUGUUUGACUGCAUCUGAGCCCAGGCUCAUUUCAGCCAGGAAUUUCUAUGGUUACUCGAUCUCUUUCUUCCCUUUCUUCUUUUAAAAAUGAAUUAUACAAGAUAGACAAGCCUACUUUCUCAUUGUAACGAAAUGCAACAAUGUAGUUUUAACAGAUAUGUCUAGA